GAUGAACGCUGGCGGCGUGCCUAAUACAUGCAAGUCGAGCGAACAGACGAGGAGCUUGCUCCUCUGACGUUAGCGGCGGACGGGUGAGUAACACGUGGAUAGCCUACCUAUAAGACUGGGAUAACUUCGGGAAACCGGUGCUAAUACCGGAUAAUAUAUUGAACCGCAUGGUUCAAUAGUGAAAGACGGUUUUGCUGUCACUUAUAGAUGGAUCCGCGCCGCAUUAGCUAGUUGGUAAGGUAACGGCUUACCAAGGCAACGAUGCGUAGCCGACCUGAGAGGGUGAUCGGCCACACUGGAACUGAGACACGGUCCAGACUCCUACGGGAGGCAGCAGUAGGGAAUCUUCCGCAAUGGGCGAAAGCCUGACGGAGCAACGCCGCGUGAGUGAUGAAGGUCUUCGGAUCGUAAAACUCUGUUAUUAGGGAAGAACAAAUGUGUAAGUAACUAUGCACGUCUUGACGGUACCUAAUCAGAAAGCCACGGCUAACUACGUG
rnacentral:rRNA from 1 species